GCUGGGUGUGGUGGUACAUGCCUGUAAUCCCAGCAGCUUGGGAGCCCGAGGCAGGAGUAUCGCAAGUUCAAGGCCGGCCUCAGCAACUUAGCAAGGCCCUAAGCAACUUAGUGAGACCCUGUCUCAA
rnacentral:sRNA from 1 species